rnacentral:lncRNA from 1 species
CAGGCCAAUUAAAUCAAGCAUAUUCCUCAGUAUCAUGGAGAGACUGGAGGUUAGAGACACCAAAACCAUCCCUGGCUUAAUGACUUUGGGAUCCCUGGGCCCCUCCAUGCAGCAGAACGGCAAUUAACCAAGACCAUUGGCCAUUCUCUGACCAUCUCAAGCCAGAGGUGACUUGAUCUGUCACCCAGCUGUGGCCCAUGAGCAUUAUCUAAGGAGGAACAUUUUUGCUUACGUUUCCAGUGCUCUACAUAAGCCCUAGGCCCUGGAAAUACUACUUUCAUGGCUCUGGCUAUGAACAUCAGCAUAUAGAGAAUGGAUCACUACCAAAGAAGGCACCCGAAUGUGUCUGUCUCAUCCUGGGGAAACUCAUUCAUCUGUAUAUGUACUCAGCAAGUGUUUCCUGGCACCUGCUCUGGGUCACAGUGCUGGGCACUGGAAGCUGAGAGAUGUGGAAGAAGGCUGGACAUUCAAGGGACAAUGGCUGGAGGAAGAAAUGAGAGGAUCUCUAUACCCAGGCCUUGGCUUCUAUGUCCCUUCUCGAAGUGGUUGAAGUGCAGAUUUCUGAUUCUGUACCCAGCCUCCAGGGACACAGUACACAGUAUGCUGGGAAUGGCGGUGGGUGUUUGAGGUACAUUACUUCCAGACAAAACAUGGCUGCAGAGGGAUACCAAAAGCAUCUUCUGGUGGCUGAAGCCCUGUCUGCACAAGUGUCUGUGUUCUUCAAUGGUUCAGGCAAGCUCAGACAGACCCUCUGCUUCUCUUAACCUGAGACACUAGUUUCCCCAAGAACUUUGAGCUGAAGGUUCCUUGCUGUGUCCCCUACCUGGCUGUGAGGACUUUGAGUAUAAUUAUCCUAUCUUAUUUGUUGCUGUGCUCCCAGUGUCUUGGAUGGAGCCUGACAUCUAGUCAGUGUUAGUAAAUGUUGAUGUGUAUUGAAUUUUGCAAGGAUCUGCAGCCCUGAGAAGAGGGGAUACUUCUUGGAAACCUCUGUGGGCUAAAUUGAGGGUUAAGGACUGGGACUGGAAGGCAGAGAUUCCAGAGUGAUAACCACAGUAGUUACUAUUUCAUGAGAGCCUCCAUGUGCCAGCCUCUAAGCUAGGCCCAUACCAUGCAUUACCUCUUGUCCCCACUUUACAGAAACUAAGGCUUAGACAAGUUAAGCAACUUGCUAAAGAUCAAACAACUCAAUAUGUGUUGGAGUCAAAUGAACGCAUUUCUUUUCCAUUUCCCUCAUUUACUCCACUAAUGACAGUACUUAAAUUGUAGACUAGGAAUUAAAAUAGCAGAAGCCUGACUUGAGAGGGCAGAGCCCCUGCGUUUGAGUGCCUGAAAGUCAGUCAUGGGUAGAAAGAACAGUCUUGUAGCAGAGCUCUGGGCAAGGGAGGAGCCGUGAGCAGGUGGACAUGAACUCACUGUGACAACUCUCCAACAGUGAAAGCAGGUUCCCAUGGAAUCCAGGGAAAUUACUGAAUAACUUUCAACACAAAAAUGUGUGCUAGUGAGCUGUAGAGCCUUUAUAUCCCCCCAAAACAUAUUAUGGGGGUGGGGGGGGGGCGCGGAAUUCUGAAUUUUUGUUGUUGUUGUUGUUGUUGAGACAGAGUUUUGCUGUUGUUGCCCAGGCUGGAGUGCAAUGGCACAAUCUUGGCUCUCCACAACCUCCGCCUCCUGGAUUCAAGCGAUUCUCCUGCCCCAGCCUCCAGAGUAGGGGCUGGGAUUGUAGACAUGCGCCACCACGCCUGGCUAAUUUUGUAUUUUUAGUAGAGAUAGGGUUUCUGCAUGUUGAUCAGGCUGGUCUCGAACUCCUGACCUCAGGUGAUCCACCCGCCUUGGCCUCCCAAAGUGCUGGGAUUACAGGUGUGUGCCACGGCGCCCGGCCUAAGUAAAUAGUUUGGAAAGCUGCAUCCAAUAGUCUCUUUUGAAGAUUCACAAUGCACCCUAGCUUGUUAACUAUUCCAAGAAGUCCCCGGAAAAGAAUGCUUGUUUGACUUUCUUGAAUCCAGUGUUGCCCAUGUUUAUUUGACUAGUGAGCAGGUUUUUUUGUUUGUUUGUUUGUUUUUUAAGUGACACUUUUUAACACUCUGAGGCAGUAAUAUUGUACUGAACACAUGGGGAAUCUUCUGUGGAAGUUUGGCCUGGAAUACAUCCUCUGUGUUCCUUCUCGCCCCGUGGCUGAGUGAGUGUGCUGUAAAAGCUUAGUGACAGAAAAGCCCCACUUAGCCUAUUUGUGAUGAUUUCCUAAACCGGGCAAAUAACUCAUCUGAAUGGCUGAGGUGAUAAACUCACAGGAGGAGAAGAUGCUGGAGGAAGUGUCAUGUGUCCUGCAUGUAGGUACCACUUCACCUCCCAGCAAGGCGAUGCUGAUAGCAACGUUUUCCUUGGGUGUUGAAUUUUCCAUCCUGCAAUUACGUCUUAAGCCAUAGAUAAAAUUCACAUCCACGUUUCACUCAAGAUAAACCUAACAUCAUAAUAAUACAGAAGAUUAAUUCAUUGGGGAAAAAUAGAAGAAAAUUGGUCUUGGCUUAAAGAGAAGUCAACAUUUAGAAUGUGUAGAAGGGGAUUUCUUCUGGAUCACACUCUGUCCUCAACAGUGGCAUGUGAAAAUGUAUGUGGUUCGCUUUAGUGCAUGCAUGUUUGUGCCUGUCCCACUGACACAUCCACAGUGUGACCCAUAGAGGUCCACUUCUAAGACCCCUAACUCUGAGUCCAACCCACCCUUUUGGGCUCACUGCAGUCAUUUCUCUCUGAAGUCUUCCUUGACAACCUAGGCAUCAUCAGUUUUUCUCUUCUCUGAUCAUCUUAGCAAGUGUAUCCAUAAGCUAUAAUCACAAUCAUGCUGCAUAACAAAACCAAAAACUCAAUGGCCAAUAACAAUGAACAUUUAUUUUUUGUUUUCAUGUCUAGAGGCCAGGUGGGGGGUGGCUGAUCUAAGCUGGGUUUUGCUCUAGGUUAGAUUUAGUCUAGGUUGGCCUCACAUGUCUCUCAUUCUUCAGGUGUCAGGAGGCCACCAUGGGCCUGAUCUUCAGGACAGAUGCCUCUUAAGACUUGGGCUUUGACUCAUACACUGUUACUGCCACCCAUGUCCUGUUGGCCAAAGUCAAUUUCAUUACCAAGCCCAAGAUCUGUGGAGUGGAGAAAUGCAUUUUGAAGGGGAGGGAGUCAAUCUGUAAUGAGCACCAUGAUGUACCAUAGAGCAUUUGUAGUCAUGAGCCUGAUUUAGACACUUGGUGGGGUAUCUCUGUGCUCUUAGGAAUUGUGUCUCUGUGUCUGUCAGAGGUGAUAACAUUGGAGCUGAGCCUUAAAAAAUAAAAGUUUCCUCAAACACCU